rnacentral:rRNA from 1 species
AUUGAACGCUGGCGGCAGGCCUAACACAUGCAAGUCGAACGAGUGGCGGACGGGUGAGUAAUGUCUGGGAAACUGCCCGAUGGAGGGGGAUAACUACUGGACACGGUAGCUUAUACCGCAUACCCUCAGAUUUGCCCAUAUGGGAUUAGCUUGUAGGUGGGGUAACGGCUCACCUAGGCGACGAUCCCUAGCUGGUCUGAGAGGAUGACCAGCCACACUGGAACUGAGACACGGCCCAGACUCCUACGGGAGGCAGCAGUGGGGAAUAUUGCACAAUGGGCGCAAGCCUGAUGCAGCCAUGCCGCGUGUAUGAAGAAGGCCUUCGGGUUGUAAAGUACUUUCAGUGAGGAGGCGUUACCCGCAGAAGAAGCAUCGGCUAACUCCGUGCCAGCAGCCGCGGUAAUUC